rnacentral:rRNA from 1 species
UACGUAGGUGGCAAGCGUUGUCCGGAUUUACUGGGCGUAAAGAGCGCGCAGGCGGUCGUUCAAGUCGCGUGUGAAAGCCCCGGGCUCAACCUGGGAAUGGCAAUGGAUACUGGACAGCUAGAGUGCGGUAGAGGGUAGUGGAAUUCCCGGUGUAGCAGUGAAAUGCGUAGAGAUCGGGAGGAACACCAGUGGCGAAGGCGGCUACCUGGACCAGCACUGACACUGAAGCACGAAAGCGUGGGGAGCAAACAGG